rnacentral:miRNA from 1 species
UUAGGUUGGUGCAAAAGUAAUCACAGUUUUUGCCAUUACUUUUAAAGAUAAAAACCAUGACUACUUUUGCACCAACCUA